rnacentral:rRNA from 1 species
UGAGGAAUAUUGCGCAAUGGACGAAAGUCUGACGCAGCGACGCCGCGUGGAGGAUGACGGUCUUCGGAUUGUAAACUCCUGUUAAGUGGGAAGAAAACCUUGUACAUAAUACGUACAGGGCAUGACGGUACCACUAGAGAAAGCACCGGCUAACUUCGUGCCAGCAGCCGCGGUAAUACGAGGGGUGCUAGCGUUAUUCGGAAUUACUGGGCGUAAAGGGUGUGUAGACGGCAUAUUAAGUCUGUUGUUAAAUCCUCCGGCCUAACCGGAGAUAUGCGGCGGAUACUAUUGUGCUAGAGGGUGAGAGAGAGGAGUGGAAUUCUCGGAGUAGCGGUAAAAUGCGUAGAUAUCGAGAGGAACACCGAUGGCGAAGGCAGCUCCUUGGCUCAUUUCUGACGUU